UACGAAGGGGGCUAGCGUUGUUCGGAAUUACUGGGCGUAAAGGGCGCGUAGGCGGUCCUGAUCGUCGGAUGUGAAAGGCCUGGGCUCAACCUGGGAAUGGCAUCCGAUACGGCGGGACUGGAGUGUGGGAGAGGUUGGUGGAAUUCCCAGUGUAGAGGUGAAAUUCGUAGAUAUUGGGAAGAACAUCAGUGGCGAAAGCGACUUCCUGGACCAAUACUGACGCUCAUGUGCGAAAGCGUGGGGAGCAAACAGG
rnacentral:rRNA from 1 species